AGAACGAACGCUGGCGGCAGGCUUAACACAUGCAAGUCGAACGCGUGUAGCAAUACACGAGUGGCGCACGGGUGAGUAACGCGUGGAUAUCUGCCUUUUGGUUCGGAAUAACCCCGGGAAACUGGGGCUAAUACCGGAUGGUUCCUACGGGAUAAAGAUUUAUCGCCAAAAGAUGAGUCCGCGUCCGAUUAGCUAGUUGGUGGGGUAAUGGCCUACCAAGGCGACGAUCGGUAGCUGGUCUGAGAGGACGAUCAGCCACACUGGGACUGAGACACGGCCCAGACUCCUACGGGAGGCAGCAGUGGGGAAUAUUGGACAAUGGGGGCAACCCUGAUCCAGCCAUGCCGCGUGAGUGAUGAAGGCCUUCGGGUUGUAAAGCUCUUUUGGCGGGGACGAUGAUGACGGUACCCGCAGAAUAAGCCCCGGCUAACUACGUGCCAGCAGCCGC
rnacentral:rRNA from 1 species